rnacentral:rRNA from 1 species
ACCGAGCAACGCCGCGUGGCAGGAAGACGGUUUCGGAUCGUAAACUGCUUUCGUGGGGGAAAGAGAAGGGACGGUACCCCAGGAAGAAAGCCCCGGCUAACUACGUGC